GGUGCUGUAGCUCAGUGGUAGAGCACUUGCCUGGCAUGCAUGAGGCAUUGGGUUCAAUCUUCAGCACCA
rnacentral:tRNA from 1 species